UCUUGAUUGACUGACUUUUUUACUACUUAUAAUUCUAGCAAAUCAAUAUAAUUUAUUGUUACAUCAAAUGAACGUGAAAACAUCUUAUCUAAACGACAUAUUAAAUCAAGAAGAUAAAUAAAUCCUCAUACGGUUUAAAACCGUCAGCAAGAUACUGGGUUUGCACGUUUUGAUGAUGACCAAUUUAAAAAAAAAUUUAAUGAGUCAGCUUAAUAUAAAAGAUAUGUAAGCAGAUAUUUAAAAGCACCCAGUCUAUACUACCAAAAACGUUAAGUCACCAGGAUGGCCGAGCUAAGCAAAUGCGGGACAAAAAGGGGAACUAGGAUGGUACUCCAUAGUAUGAGAGUCGCGUUAAGUUCCCAUUACGUCAUCUGUAGUUAUCGGCCUAAUAAACUGUAUUAUUGAAAAGUAGUGACCUUUAUUUAAGGCGUAAACCUCAAUCUACCCCCGUGGAGUUUAUAUCAGAAGUGGGAUCGUACGGUGCUCAGUUAAAGUGUAAAAAAACACAGUUAAAAAUAAGAAUUCAAAAACUAAGUGCGAACGAAGCAGUUUUAAAAUGGCAGAAGGUUUUGGUGAAAGUUGUAAACCCUUGUUUAGGAAGGAUGAUAGUGAUAGUUUUGAAGAUGAACUAUGUGCAUCAGGCCCAAAACGUGCAAAUGUGCAUUGGCAAGAAACUUUAAUUAAUUUGGUUGUCGCCCAACAAAAACAACUAGCUAUGUUGGCAUAUCAGUUCAAGAUGGCGAUGUUUGCAAAGUCGACGGAAAAUGUCGAUGACGAAAGAGCGCGGACUCCUGUCGUCAGAUCCGCCGUGCCACAUUCCUCAUUUCGAAUUUCUAGCUUUGACCCCGAUAAAAGUGCUUACCCAAUAAAAAAGUGUUUACAUGACUGCACGAAGCUUAAGCAGGAAUUCCACGUAAGCGAUAUUUUACUGAUAGCGAAACCUGGCGACGCAUUACGUCAUCGAGGCUAUCGCGUUUAUUGUGAUUGAAGGCCUUUUAGUAGAGCCUGAGAACAUUUUUGCGAGGAUCUUUUUAUUGAAUUUCCUGAUAAAGAGACAGUUGUUGUUUGCACUUUUAUGGCAGCUACACUACGUAGCAUUGACUGUGAGUCCCUCUGUGAUGAUGAAAACCAGAAGUUAAGAAGCAUUCGUGGAUUUUCUGACCAACUGCUAUGGGAUACCGUACUCAGUAUGGUUGAAUAUGGCCUAAACGUGCUGAUAGCGAAACACGUUCUGCAAUUAGAAUUCAAAAACUAAGGUGCGAACGUGAGCUUUUGAAGCUAUUUGGAGUUUGAGGUGAUGUUCGCCGUGAAAAAAAGUUGUAGUGGGUUUAUUUGGUUCUCGUCGAAAUGAGCGCUAUGUGAGAGAGCCUACCGCCGAAAUAAGACCUCGUCAAUCUGCAGAAUUUACAGGUACAUGUUUUAAAUCUGGCCAAAUGGGGCAUCAACAAUAUAAUUGCAAAAUAACUUCCAAGCAGGACGAAAUUUUACAAGAGUUUAAGAAAACUAUCAAAAUUCCAACAUACAUCCAUUGCAAAAAAAAUGGGCCACAUUGAGGAAAAUUGCUGGUACAAAAAUGAGAAACAAAAAGCCAUUGUCUUAAGAAAAUGACGCCAAGUUGUCGAAACACCAAUAGCCACAGUAUUAUGUAAUAAUAGCGCUCCUUAUUAUGUAUACUGCAUUGAUAGUGGUGCCGAUGUUUGCUUAAUAAAAUAGCCGAUUAACAUCACAUAGAGUGAUGAAAUCGAGCGACAAAGUGGGUACGUAUGUUGGAUUUGGGAUUCACGUUGUUUUUGCUAUAUAGGUGCUUGUGAUUUGAUUGUUAUUUUACCAAUGAUGGCAUUUGACAUUUGUUUUGUUGUUGUUCCUGAUAGAGUUGUUCAUAGUGGCAUCGAUAUUAUUAUUGGCCUAGAUGUUAUUUUUCAGCCCUAUAUAUGUGUUAAAAAGGGUGUGGAUGAAAUUGAACUAUAUUAUCAGCGACCAGACCCUUCUAUAGUUUUAACUUUUAGUAGUUUAAGUACGAUACAAAUACAGCAACUUGGAUUGGACCAUACUUUAAAGUUGCAUUUAAAAACCUUGCUAAAUACUUCUAGACAUAACUCCCAACCAUAUUACUACGAUCAUGUUCCUGUGGUCUAUAGUUCUCGUCGCUUGGCUUACCAAGAACGCGCUUAAGUCGCCGACAGAGUGAAUGAGCUUUUAAGGAAUGGAAACAUACUUCGAGUACGCCAGCUGUAUGUUUCAAGAUUUUGUAUUGAAUAGUGAAGCACAUUUUAAUUUAAAAGUAACAAAUCUAUAUUUUGAUAAUGGGCGAGAAUAUCUUUUCAAUAAAUUUAAAAACUAUUGUGUUCAAAAGAGAUUAGUUACCAUUAAACGUACCACAUACAGCGCAACAAAAUCCUAAGUCCAAAAAUCUAAUAUAAGAGUGGUCUUUUCCGAAAAUAGUCAGGAGCACUAUACUAGAACUCAACAUGAUAGCUACUGGCAUAAUAAUAUUAGGACUAAUAUAGUGUUACGUAAUCCAGCUUAUCAUGCCGCAAUAGCAUUUUAAACACACUAGAAGUUAUUAAUAAAUUUUAUGCAUUGCUAAAAAUAAGAAAGAAAACAUUGGACCACAGCAUAAAGAAACCAGCAGUCGCACUCCGCUCGAAAAUGUAAGCGAACUAAUAGCAUCCUUAGCCAUGCCGCAUGGGGGCAAGAAUUUGGGCAAUUGCUUCUAGCAGAGAAGUUUUGAUAACAAAGGAGAACCUCCAUACUCUUUCUUAUAAAAUUUGUGGGAGGCAUUUUGAAAACAAGAUGUUUCUAAACGAUUUACAAAACAGACUACAAAAAAUGCAGUGCCCACUUUAUUCGCAGCGCUAGAAGGCUCAUCUUCAGAUUCAACCAGAAAAAUAUGCCAAGAUUUAAAUGAAGCUUUUUCGCACUCAUCCGAUGUGAACUCUGUUAUAACUUUUUCUCCAACGCUAGAAGACACAUCUUCGCAUUCAACGAAAAAAUUAUGUCAAGAUGAAACUUUACCACAAUCAUCCGAUGUAGCUUCUGUAGGUACUUUGUUUCCUGCACUAGAAAGCACAUCUUCCCAUUCAACCAAAGAAUUAUGCCAAGAUUUAGUUAAAACCUUCCCACAUUCAUCUAAUGUGGCUUCUGUUAGUAGAUCUUACCUCGUUACUGCGCAAUCCCACCAAACUCAAUUCAAGAGACAAAAAAGUUUUAUUUGUAUAAUCCACAGAACAUAAUAAAAAUUGCACAAAAGUCAGUGGCGUAUAUUUUAGUUGUUGUUAAAUUUUAACACCCUGUAUAUUGAGAACGAAGAAUUUCUGGACAUAUGUUUAUAUGAACUUUUUGUUUUAAAAUUACUCAAAAAAUGGUUUCUUAAAUUUAUGGUACAUACCUAAUUAACUUUCUGCACGUAUUCUCCUAUAUCGUCGUUGUUAGAUGUAGAAAUGCGAUGUUUAUUUUUGUUUAAAUAUUUUGUUAAUGUAUGAACUUUAUUAAUAUUAAAAAAUAAAUAUUUGUACUAUGUAGGUAUUUUUAUUUUACAAGAUAAUAAUAUCUAAAAAAAUGUUUAAGUCCGGCUCUAGCCAAGGCAAAAGCCGCGUGGACCGUAGCGAGUGUCAGCGGCAUCCCUACUAUAAGCAAAUAUGCCGCGCCUGCGUUAGUACACAUGCACCGAACUCGCUUA
rnacentral:lncRNA from 1 species